AAAAAAGCGAAGAAAGAGAGCGCUGAUCAAGAGAACUUAUAGAGAAACCGUGGGUGGUGGAAACGGUGAAGGUGUAUUGGUCAGGAAUCACUCUGGAGCUGCAUCCUGAAUAAAGUAGGGAAUGCCGUUGAUUGCGUUAAGAUCUUAAGUGCAUAUCGAAUGAUAUGAACAAAGGUGGUACCGCGUGCAAACGUCCUUUAU
rnacentral:ncRNA from 1 species